AUCAUACACAAGCAAAAUACCCAUAGCUCCACGGUAGUAAGCAGUUGUAAUUGUUCGAAAACGCUCUUGACCAGCAGUAUCCCAAAUUUGCAAUUUAAUCCGUUUUCCAUCAAGCUCAAUUGUUCUUAUCUUAAAAUCAAUUCCAAUGGUUGUAAUGAAACUAGUUGUAAAGGAACCAUCUGAGAAACGCAAAAGAAGGCAACUCUUACCCACACCGCUAUCGCCGAUCAAGAGAAGCUUUAUAAGGUAAUCGUAAUCGGCACGAGCUCUUGCAGGUGGAGCAGCCAUUGAUGAAUUACAGAUCGGGAAGGUGAGAGUGAGAUCUAUCUAAUUAGAGGAGAUUAGUAAUGAAGAAGGAAAGUGUCUUCCAGUUCCAGCACGUCAGCACCGGUCGGCCAUUGAAAAAUUUUUAGAGAGAGAAAGAGAACAGAAGAGAGGAUUGUUAAGGGAGAAGCUUCGAUGCAACUUUUAACUAUAGUAUUCCCCUUAUGGCCGUUCGAUUAUGGAUUGUUU
rnacentral:misc_RNA from 1 species